AUACACAGCCAAAUAAUGCUCAACCCAAGAAUGUACAGCCCAAUAAUUGGCGUCCAUGAUGUACGUCUAUUAUUGGGUCGUGUAUUAUUGGGUUGAGCAUUCUCGGUCCGCGCAGGCUUGGUCCGGGGCGAUAAUACGAAGCCACUCUUUUCACAGGGCAAUAAUGUACGACCCAAUAAUACGCGUCCACUAAUUUGAGUCCUUGGCUUUCAAAUAUUGGGCUGCGCAUUAUUGGCACACGUCGAGAAAGCCCGACCCAAUAAUGUACGACCCAAUAAUAGGAAGCCAAAAACCAGAGACAUUCUUUUUUUUAAGAGAGCUGUCAAAAUUAGUAGGGACGUUCUGACUCGAGCUCGUGACAGCUUAAAAAUAAUCGGUUUUUUCUAGUGACAUCUUUCAGUGACAUUGACAGUAUUGACACUUGUUUGGUUUACAAUUUGUUAUAAUUUUUUAAUUUUUUGCAACAAAAGUCCUAAUAUUUUUCCGUACUUAAUGUCUUCAUUAUAUACAAGUAUGCAAGAAAUCAUGGCAAGAGAUCCUUAAUCGUUUUGGAAUUAAAUGAAUUCUAAAAGCAGUAGAGGUAGGUACGGAAAAAAUAUUAAUUAAUGGAGAACCUUUGUCCGGUGAACAAGUAAUGAAUUUGCUAGGUUUUUUCACUCCGUGGUCAGCGUGGAGAAGCCAAAGUUGGAGACUACAUGAGGCACAGACAGCAGUAUGUAGAUUAUGAAGGGCACAGAUUGAAACCAGCAGUGACAUGGGCCAUUUGUUCAAUAGAAUAUCUUGGUUUAUCGAAAUUGGCUGAGACAGCAAGGUGCAGGUCUCUGGAAAAUAUAUUAGGGAGCUGAUACAGGCAGUGUUGGCCGAAACGUUAAUGCAAUUAACCAUUAACCAGUACAAACUGAACCGUAAACUGUAACUGUCCGUUACGGUUUACGGUUCAAUUUGUACUGGUUAAUGGUUAAUUGCAAUUAACGUUCGGCCAACACUGGAUACAGGCAGCCAGAAUGAGUCUCUGCUGAGUCGCCGUCUGACGUCUUCGUGCCUGGUGCCAGUCGCCAGUUGCAGGGGAAGAUGCGAAUAGUUAUACAAGCGAGCAUGAUGACGUCUCUCAAAAACUGAUAGACACAAUACUCUUACUCGCCUUGUUACCAGAGGCAACAACCAGCAGCAGUGGGACCAGCGCGGCCCCCCGCGCCCCCGCCCCGUCCCUCGCCCCUGCAGAGCGGACACCAGCGCCCUCUACAACUCUACCGGCGCCCGCCGUGUCUCCACCUUCUUCAAAAACGACAACCGGUGUUAGAUCUCCAAUUGACAUGACAAUACGAUGGACCUAGCUAGGCUAACAUUUUUAUUUUACCUUUUUAUCUCUGUAUAUUCCCAAGUCCCCAAGGGCACAGAUGGGAAUAUCAUAAUAUAGAUUACUCCCAUCCCCGUCCGCGCCCCCGCCUGAUGUGUGGCGGCCGUCACGUGAAGCCUUGACAAAUGUGAAUACAACCGUUGCCGCCAUAACAAUAAAUACUAAAAACAAUAGAUAAUGGUACGGAACCCUUCGUGCGCGAGUCCGACUCUCACUCUCACUUUCACGACUUUUCUUUCUAAGAUUAUUUUGAUUGGUUUGUCUACCAAUUAAUUUCUGUAUAAAUCAGUACCUAUAACAAAAUUCUUGCCCUUUUUAUUUCCCAAUUUAUAAUCUAAUUAUAGUCUUCAUCUUCUCAAAUCAUUUUUUAGCCUAAGAAUACAUUAUAAACCUAAGUAAUCUGUUAAACAAAAACCAUUGUCUUUAUUGUGACGGGCUCUAAGCUUCCAACUUGGGCACGUGGCAAAGCAACAAUGCCGUUUAAAAAGCAACUGAAUCGCGAUAGUACUAUAGUUCAAAUCUUUUUGACAGCUCAUUCAAGAUAACACGGUUGCGUAAUGUGGAUGGUUCGGUCGACCACCCCGAUAUAGGCGAGAAUACACAGCGCUCGUAAGAUUUCAACUUUAGUACUAUCGCGAUUCAGUUGCUUAUUAAACGGCAAUGUUGCUUUGCCACGUGCCAAAGUUGGAAGCUUGGAGCCCGUUACAAUAGAGACAAUGGCUUUUGUUUAUAGAUCCAAUCAUAUCAACUGAGCUAAUGCACUCACCUGUACUAACAAUGGCAUCGUAUUAUUACAAUACUAUUAUCCGCUUUUGUUCUCGUAGCCGCCACGCCAACUAGUUACUUACAAAAUAAGUUAGAAGUGCAUUGCAUGUAUAUUCAAUUUUCACAUCACCAAUUCGAAAAAGGGUUUUUUCUUCCCUGCUAGGAGGGAUCAAAGUGGCACUUUUCUUCCCUGCUAGGAGGGAUCAAAGUAACACUUUUCUGUUCUAGGACACUAUUUAAAAACAAUUGCACAUUAUUUUUUUAGCUUAAAUAAUAUUUUUAAACAUCAUAAUUACCUCAUAGGUGAUGUGAAAAGCAGUAUGUGUCACAUGGUAGCAAAAUUAUUUCCAUCUUGGGCGUAACACACUUGAAUCCCUCACUACGCUCAGGAUUCUACUUUAGAAUCUUCGUUACUCUCGGGAUUCUAUUAUAGAAACCUUCGCUUCGUUUAAGAUUCAAUGUACGCCCUCGCCGUAAAUAUGUCAUUUUGCUCCCUUGUAACACAAUCUACUAUUUUAACCUUAUUCCUUGUUGAAUGGGGUUAAAAUGGUCUAAAAUAAAAACAUGUUGUAACAUAUGGUUUUCUACAGAGUGCAUUCGUUUUGGGUGUCGACGGUUGUAAAAUGCAAAUAAAGUUAUGUUAGCCAUUAUUUAGUUAGUGUAUUUUGUAGCCUAUUUAAAAAAUAGAGUCGUUAAUCUAUACUAACAUAUCAAGGCGGUUAUAAUCUGCUUUUACUACGAGGUAGUUAUCCUAAUUUGUGGUUUACCACUUAAUGGCAUUGUAUUCUUGAGACUCUUUGAGUAAACAGGUAAGUGCAUUAGCUCAAUUGAUAUGAUUCCAUCUAUAACAGAUUAUUGACUUGGGCGAAAAAAACAUUUGAGAAGAUGAAGAUUAUUUGUGAUGCGUAUAGUUUUAUAUUACUUACCUUUGCCUUCUUUAGCUAAACGGAAAAAGUGGCCGCCAUUUGCCGUUUAGAUGAUGAAGCAAAAAAACGGCCAAGUGCGAGUCGGACUCGCACACGAAGGGUUCCGUACCAUUACGCAAUAAACGGCAAACGGCCCCAUUAUUUUUUUUUGUUAUUAUAGCGGCAACAGAAAUACAUCAUCUGUGAAAAUUACAACUGUCUAGCGAUCACGGUUCACGAGAUACAGCCUGGUGACAGACAGACAGAUGGACAGUGGAGUCUUAGUGAUAAGGUCCACAAAUUGCCCUGUCCCGGCCUCUGCAAUAAUGUACUAUUUCUCAAACAUGCAAUGAAAUAUUGAUAUUAUGUUCUUCAUAUUAGGCUGGAAAGUAUCACGUCUCGGGUGCGGCCAGACGAGAGGAAUUUAAUUAAAUUUCGUACAUAGUUGCAGACCUAGGCCGGAAAGUAGCUCUUUUUAACCGACUUCAAUUUCAUAGAAGGAGGAGGUUCUGUAUUCGGUUGUGGCUAUUUUUUUUUUUAAUUUCCAUUUCACAUAUAUUUGUGACACAGCAUCAUGGCAUUCAGCCAUUAAAAAAAAAAUUGAAGCAAUACUUGCUUUUUGGUUCAUUAUGACAUUCUGUCAAUACGCCUAUUAAAAAAAUAAAAUAAACGAUGUUUGCUAUA